GCUGCGUUUUCCCAAGCUACGCUGAGGCCAUUGUGGGGGUGUGAUGGGUCUCCUGAGGAAGAGGUUACCCAUAACCAAUGAAAUGGUUCACAACCUCAUAGCAAUUGAGUUAGCCUACAUCAACACCAAGCACCCGGACUUGGCUGAUAUGACUUUGGUCUCUUCAUCCGUCAGCAGCAACAAGAGUGACGUCUACCGC